UGGGGGUUCACUUCAGAGGUCACUGGGGUUUAUGGGUAAGGGACAACUUUGCAUACUCAUUGAGUUUGUGGUUGCCUUAAUCCAGGAAUUCAUCAGAAUUCAGAACCGUGGUCACUCACUAUAAGUUACAUCUAAUUCUAAAGAUUUUUAAACAUCUAUCUAUGGAGUGUGUAUGUGUGAGCUAUGGCUUACAUAUGGAAGCAGAAGGAGGACUUUAGGGACUCAGUUCUCUCCUGCCACCAUGUGAAACUUGGGGAUUAAAUUCAGGUCGUCAGGCUUGGUGGCAGUGCCUUUACUUGCUGAGUCACCUCACUGACUCGUGUCUCAAUUUUUAAAAAUUAUUAACAUAAAAAGUUAUGAUGGGGUUAAAUCUAUGGACAUUAGGAGACUGGGUAUGUUUGGCAAGUCGGUAUCCUGGGCCUGCUCCCCUCCCCCAUUCUACCAAUACAGGAAAAUUGAACAGGGUUUUGCUUGUGCCAGCCAAGCACUUUGUCACAAACUAUAUCCCCAAUCCUAUCCUCUUAAUCCCCAACUUUUUUGUUUUGUUUUCUUUUGAGACAGGGUUGCCAAAGGUUGUCUGAUGUGGAAUAUUAUUUUAACUAGGCAAAGACGUGUUACAUUUGUAUAUGCUGUGGAAUACCACUUUGACUAUGCUAAGGGGUAUCUUUCGCUUGUGGAUCUGGAAACCAGGAAGUCCAUUAUCUUUGGACCUUUUUGGGAACAUGUUGAAACCAUAGCAAGAAGUCAGCCCUGCCCUCCCAUCUGUUAAUUCUGCUGUCUCCUUUCUCGGCACCAUCCACACUGACAGGAGUUGUAAGGUUCCGGCCCUGUUUGCAUUCCUGUGCUGACUCCUUCAAUGAUGGUCAACGGAUAAAGACGAGUAAGUCAAAGAAGCCCUUUCCUCCCGCAGCUUGGUAAUGGUGUUUCAUGACAGCCACAGUGACCCCCAGCUAAGAUAGAUGGCUACAUUCCUGCUGAGUCCAAAAUAAAGGUACAGCAAGCUUCUCCAUAUUUCUCCACAGAACCAAGAAAAUACAAUGCAUAGUGUGUUCAUGCAGAGAGGAACUAUGAACACUGGUAUCACCCAAUCAUACCCAACUUUCUCUUGCUGAGGAAAGUGCCAAGUUCGUAAGGACUGUGCUGAAAAUCAGCGCACAUAACUAGGGUUCACCAUGCCCACCCACUUAUGUGUGAAGUAGGAAACAGGUUUUUGGGGCUAUGUUGGGGGUCUCUAAAUGCAAAAACCCUUUUAGGAUGUAUUAUGACAAAAAUGCCCUACCCUGGAGAUAUUUAUGUCCUGAUGAUGAUGACCUGAAGCUGCUGAUUUCCCACAGGUAUCCUGAGACAAUUAUGACGUGUCAGACCUGCGGAGACCCAUGUUGAAUGGUUUAUUGGACCAGGAACAACACCAUGGCAGUUUGGAUGAGAAUGUCCCCCAUAGGCUCAGAUAUUUGAAUUCUUGGUCCCCAGUUGGUAGCUCUGUUUGGGUAGGAUUAGGUGUGGCCUCACUAGAAGAGGUGUGUUACUGGGGGUUGGCUUUGAGGUUUACCAUGUACCAUCCCCACAGCUGUCCUUCUGGUUCAUGCUUACGGUAAGGUGAGGCCUCAGCCCACUCCUUCUGCCACUGUGCUUGCUGCCAUCCUUGACUCUCACCCUCUGAAACUGUAAACCCAAAUAAACUCUUCCUUCUAUAA